UACAGAGGUGGCAAGCGUUGUUCGGAAUUACUGGGCGUAAAGGGCGCGUAGGCGGUCGGGCAAGUCCUGUGUGAAAUCCCUCGGCUCAACUGAGGAACUGCACGGGAGACUGUCGGGCUUGAGUUCGGGAGAGGGAAGCGGAAUUCCGGGUGUAGCGGUGAAAUGCGUAGAUAUGCGGAGGAACACCGAUGGCGAAGGCAAUCCCCUGGGCCUGCACUGACGCUCAUGCACGAAAGCGUGGGGAGCAAACAGG
rnacentral:rRNA from 1 species